rnacentral:rRNA from 1 species
AGCAGCCGCGGUAAUUCCAGCUCCAAUAGCGUAUAUUAAAGUUGUUGCAGUUAAAAAGCUCGUAGUUGAAUUUCGGGGUCAGUAGUUUGGUCGUGCCAAUGGUAUGUACUGGGCUCACUGAUUCCUCCUUCCUGAUGAACUGUAAUGCCAUUAAUUUGGUGUUGCAGGGAAACUGGACUGUUACUUUGAAAAAAUUAGAGUGUUUAAAGCAAGCUAACGCUUGAAUACAUUAGCAUGGAAUAAUGAAAUAGGACGUUCGAUCCUAUUUCGUUGGUUUUUAGGAUUGACGUAAUGAUUAAUAGGGAUAGUUGGGGGCAUUAGUAUUCAAUUGUCAGAGGUGAAAUUCUUGGAUUUAUUGAAGACUAACUACUGCGAAAGCAUUUGUCAAGGAUGUUUUCAUUAAUCAAGAACGAAAGUUAGGGGAUCGAAGACGAUCAGAUACCGUCGUAGUCUUAACCAUAAACUAUGCCGACUAGGGAUCGGAUGAUGUUAAUUUUUAAUGACUCAUUCGGCGCCUUAA